rnacentral:rRNA from 15 species
UGGUGUGAGCAUACCGGCACUAAAGCACCAUAUCCCAUCAGAACUCUCAAGUUAAGCGUGCAUGAGCGAGAGUAGUACUAAGAUAGGUGACCCCUUGGGAAGUCCCCGUGUUGCACUCC